rnacentral:rRNA from 1 species
CCUACGGGAGGCAGCAGUGAGGAAUAUUGGUCAAUGGACGAGAGUCUGAACCAGCCAAGUAGCAUGAAGGAUGACUGCCCUAUGGGUUGUAAACUUCUUUUAUAAAGGAAUAAAACGAGGCACGUGUGCCUUUUUGCAUGUACUUUAUGAAUAAGGAUCGGCUAACUCCGUGCCAGCAGCCGCGGUAAUACGGAGGAUCCGAGCGUUAUCCGGAUGUAUUGGGUUUAAAGGGAGCGUAGAUGGGUUGUUAAGUCAGUUGUGAAAGUUUGCGGCUCAACCGUAAAAUUGCAAGUGAUACUGGCAGUCUUGAGUACAGUUGAGGUAGGCGGAAUUCGUGGUGUAGCGGUGAAAUGCGUAGAUAUCACGAAGAACACCGAUUGCGAAGGCAGCUUACUAAACUGUGACUGACAUUGAUGCUCGAAAGUGUGGGUAUCAAACAGGAUUAGAUACCCUUGUAGUC